rnacentral:rRNA from 1 species
AUUGAACGCUGGCGGCAGGCCUAACACAUGCAAGUCGAACGAGUGGCGGACGGGUGAGUAAUGUAUGGGAAACUGCCUGAUGGAGGGGGAUAACGACUGGAACAGGUAGCUCAUAGCGCUUACCAUCGGAUGUGCUCAGAUGGGAUUAGCUAGUAGGUGGGGUAACGGCUCACCAAGGCGACGAGCCCUAGCUGGUCUGAGAGGCUGACCGGCCACACUGGAACUGAGACACGGUCCAGACGCCUACGUGAGGCAGCAGUGGGGAAUAUUGCACAAUGGGCGCAAGCCUGAUGCAGCCAGGCCGCGUGUAUGAAGAAGGCCUUCGGGUUGUAAAGUACUGUCAGCGGGGAGGCGUUACCCGCACAAGAAGCACCGGCUAACUCCGUGCCAGCAGCCGCGGUAAUAC